AAAAAUCUUACUAUUAUAUUUAUUUUACUAUUUGUACUCAAGAUUUUAUCUUAAGUACAGCGGUUCUGCUCGAAACCGUGUAGCAUUGGAAACAAUGGUACUAUGAAUUGUAGCGGGGGAGAGUCGCCCCAUAACAGGCUUGGCGGUACUCUGUGCGGGUACUUUGAUAAUGCUAAAGGUAGAAAGUAAGCUACUGCAAGACUUCUGGGGCGGAGUACAGAAGAAUAGGCGAUAUAGUCUAUAUCAAAGUAAGU
rnacentral:sRNA from 12 species